AUGAACGCUGGCGGCGUGCCUAAUACAUGCAAAUCGAGCGAACGGACGAGAAGCUUGCUUUUCUGAUGUUAGCGGCGGACGGGUGAGUAACACGUGGAUAACCUACCUAUAAGACUGGGAUAACUUCGGGAAACCGGAGCUAAUACCGGAUAAUAUUUUGAACCGCAUGGUUCAAAAGUGAAAGACGGUCUUGCUGUCACUUAUAGAUGGAUCCGCGCUGCAUUAGCUAGUUGGUAAGGUAACGGCUUACCAAGGCAACGAUGCAUAGCCGACCUGGGAGGGUGAUCGGCCACACUGGAACUGAGACACGGUCCAGACUCCUACGGGAGGCAGCAGUAGGGAAUCUUCCGCAAUGGGCGAAAGCCUGACGGAGCAACGCCGCGUGAGUGAUGAAGGUCUUCGGAUCGUAAAACUCUGUUAUUAGGGAAGAACAUAUGUGUAAGUAACUGUGCACAUCUUGACGGUACCUAAUCAGGAAGCCACGGCUAACUACGUG
rnacentral:rRNA from 1 species